GACGGGACCGCACAAGCGGUGGAUGAUGUGGUUAAUUCGAUGCAACGCGAAAACCUUACCACCUUUGACAUGUACGGAAUCCUUUAGAGAUAGAGGAGUGCUCGAAAGAGAACCGUAACACAGGUGCUGCAUGGCUGUCGUCAGCUCGUGUCGUGAGAUGUUGGGUUAAGUCCCGCAACGAGCGCAACCCUUGUCAUUAGUUGCUACAUUCAGCUGGGCACUCUAAUGAGACUGCCGGUGACAAACCGGAGGAAGGUGGGGAUGACGUCAAGUCCUCAUGGCCCCUAUAGGUGGGGCUACACACGUCAUACAAUGGAUGGUACAAAGGGUCGCCAACCCGCGAGGGGGAGCCAAUCCCAUAAAGCCAUUCGUAGUCCGGAUCGCAGCCUGCAACUCGACUGCGUGAAGUCGGAAUCGCUAGUAAUCGUGGAUCAGAAUGUCACGGUGAAUACGUUCCCGGGUCUU
rnacentral:rRNA from 1 species